rnacentral:rRNA from 1 species
ACAACAGAGUUUGAUCCUGGCUCAGAUUGAACGCUGGCGGCAGGCCUAACACAUGCAAGUCGAGCGGAUGAUGGGAGCUUGCUCCCGGAUUCAGCGGCGGACGGGUGAGUAAUGCCUAGGAAUCUGCCUGGUAGUGGGGGACAACGUUUCGAAAGGAACGCUAAUACCGCAUACGUCCUACGGGAGAAAGCAGGGGACCUUCGGGCCUUGCGCUAUCAGAUGAGCCUAGGUCGGAUUAGCUAGUUGGUGGGGUAAAGGCCUACCAAGGCGACGAUCCGUAACUGGUCUGAGAGGAUGAUCAGUCACACUGGAACUGAGACACGGUCCAGACUCCUACGGGAGGCAGCAGUGGGGAAUAUUGGACAAUGGGCGAAAGCCUGAUCCAGCCAUGCCGCGUGUGUGAAGAAGGUCUUCGGAUUGUAAAGCACUUUAAGUUUGGGAGGAAGGGCAGUAAGUUAAUACCUUGCUGUUUUGACGUUACCAACAGAAUAAGCACCGGCUAACUUCGUGCCAGCAGCCGCGGUAAUACGAAGGGUGCAAGCGUUAAUCGGAAUUACUGGGCGUAAAGCGCGCG